AUUGAACGCUGGCGGCGUGCCUAAUACAUGCAAGUCGAACGAGACCUUCGGGUCUAGUGGCGAACGGGUGAGUAAUACGUAGGAACCUGCCCUGAAGUGGGGCAUAACUCCGGGAAACCGGAGCUAAUUCCCCAUAGUCUACCUCGGUAGUAAAGGAUUUCCGCUUCAGGAAGGGCCUCCGCCCGAUUAGCUAGUUGGUGAGGUAAUGGCUCACCAAGGCGAUGAUCGGUAGCUGGUCUGAGAGGAUGAUCAGCCAACCUGGGACUGAGAUACGGCCCAGACUCCUACGGAGGCAGCAGUAGGGAAUCUUCCACAAUGGGCGAAAGCCUGAUGGAGCAACGCCGCGUGCAGGAUGAAGGCUUUCGGGUCGUAAACUGCUUUUCUGAAGGAAGAUUAUGACGGUACUUCAGGAAUAAGGGUUGGCUAACUCAGUGCCAGCCGCCGCGGUAAUAC
rnacentral:rRNA from 1 species